AACGAACGCUGGCGGCAGGCUUAACACAUGCAAGUCGAGCGCCCCGCAAGGGGAGCGGCAGACGGGUGAGUAACACGUGGGAAUCUACCCAUCCCUACGGAACAACUCCGGGAAACUGGAGCUAAUACCGUAUACGCCCUUUGGGGGAAAGAUUUAUCGGGGAUGGAUGAGCCCGCGUUGGAUUAGCUAGUUGGUGGGGUAAAGGCCUACCAAGGCGACGAUCCAUAGCUGGUCUGAGAGGAUGAUCAGCCACAUUGGGACGGAGACACGGCCCAAACUCCUACGGGAGGCAGCAGUGGGGAAUAUUGGACAAUGGGCGCAAGCCUGAUCCAGCCAUGCCGCGUGAAUGAUGAAGGCCUUAGGGUUGUAAAGUUCUUUCACCGAUGAAGAUAAUGACGGUAGUCGGAGAAGAAGCCCCGGCUAACUUCGUGCCAGCCGCCGCGGUAA
rnacentral:rRNA from 1 species